rnacentral:lncRNA from 1 species
AGUUGAAUGAGAAUUUCUGACAAAGAACGGCUCAAGCCAAAUAAAGAGGAUAAGUUUUGUAUGUCAUUCAUUGUUCUCCUCAUCUCACUGGCUUUUUAAACAUGUUGUGAACUUCUUGGCUCCUGGCCCCAUUUUCCUAGCUCUUUUGCCCUAGUGAAAUGUACAUUCUUCAGAUAAAGAGAAUAUUUUAAGUUAUAGCUACUUCAGUGGCUAAAUAUGAAACCACCAAUUAUUGAAAAUAAGGUUAGAUGUCUUCAUGAAUGGAUUGAAUGGUUAGAAUCGAGCCUUCUAUAUUUAUUUAGGUAUCAGCGUGUUUUCGUUCCUACUUAUUUUAAUUCUUGAAUCAUAUCAGUUUUUUAUUCUUGUAUGUCAUAAAUGCAAAGACACAUGAAAGAGAUAAACAUUUCACUUAAGCAUCUUCUUAUAAAGUUAUAUUAAAUGUAGGAAAUGUCUCAAAAUAAUUUAAUGGAAAGGUAACAUUUACCAAAAAAAAAAAAAUAAAAAAUAGAAAGUUUGAAUAUAAAGGCCUUUUAAAAAAGUGUUUUCUUUGGGGCUGGGGUGUAGCAGAGUAUAGCAUGUGUACAUACACAUGACUAAAGAUCCAAUGAUUCAAAUAAAUCAAAAAGUGUUGUUCUUAACAUUUAAAGAACAGUUCCACAGGUGAAACUAG